AGAGAAUCAUUUGAACCUGGGAGGUGGAGGUUGCAGUGAACUGAGAUUGCGCCAUUGCACUCCAGCCUGGGCAACAGGG
rnacentral:snRNA from 1 species